rnacentral:rRNA from 1 species
UGGGGAAUUUUGGACAAUGGGGGAAACCCUGAUCCAGCCAUCCCGCGUGUGCGAUGAAGGCCUUCGGGUUGUAAAGCACUUUUGGCAGGAAAGAAACGUCGCGGGUUAAUACCCCGCGAACUGACGGUACCUGCAGAAUAAGCACCGGCUAACUACGUGCCAGCAGCCGCGGUAAUACGUAGGGUGCAAGCGUUAAUCGGAAUUACUGGGCGUAAAGCGUGCGCAGGCGGUUCGGAAAGAAAGAUGUGAAAUCCCAGAGCUUAACUUUGGAACUGCAUUUUUAAACUACCGGGCUAGAGUGUGUCAGAGGGAGGUGGAAUUCCGCGUGUAGCAGUGAAAUGCGUAGNUAUGCGGAGGAACACCGAUGGCGAAGGCAGCCUCCUGGGAUAACACUGACGCUCAUGCACGAAAGCGUGGGGAGCAAACAGGAUUAGAUACCCUGGUAGUCCACGCCCUAAACGAUGUCAACUAG